CGCGUAGGCGGCCAGUUAAGUCAGAUGUGAAAGCCCGGGGCUCAACCCCGGAAGUGCAUUUGAAACUAAUUGGCUUGAGUAUGGGAGAGGGAAGUGGAAUUCCUGGUGUAGCGGUGAAAUGCGUAGAUAUCAGGAGGAACACCGGUGGCGAAGGCGACUUCCUGGACCAAUACUGACGCUGAGGCGCGAAGGCGUGGGGAGCAAACAGGAUUAGAUACCCUGGUAGUCC
rnacentral:rRNA from 1 species